rnacentral:lncRNA from 1 species
UACAUAUAUAAAUACGUUACAUAUAUAAAUACGUUAACAUAUGUUAUGCUAAAAGUGUUUUUUUUUUUUUUUUUAAUAUCCAUAGCUAUAGUUAAUUAACUAAGGAGAAAUGUUAUUAAUUACCUUAUGUCUUGGGAUAAAAUAUGAAGUAGCUGUUUGUAUUUGUCUCCCUUAUCCGAGUCAUAUUUAAUAUAUCUUGAUAAUACUAAAAAAUUUUUAAAUAAUUUCUUGGCUUCUUUUAUAUUAUUAUUUGUCCAUUUUAUAUAAAUGUCUUCUAAAUAUUUACGUUUUAUUCCUUUAAAAAUAUUAUUAUUUUGAUCUACAAUUUUUAAUAUAUCUUCGUAUGACUUGUUCAUAUAAUUUAUUGAUAAUUCGUUUAACAAUUUGUAUAAUGUUUCUCUCUUUAAAUUUAUAUAAUUAUUAAUAAAUUGUUUAUAUAAUUUACAUUUUUCACUGUCACUUAAAGUUAGUUGUAUAUAUCUCUCAUCCGUUUUUAAGCUAGUCGGGAUGUUAUGUUUUGUUUCAAAUUCUACUUUUUUUUUUUUUUUUUUUUUUUUUUUUUUUUUUUUUUUUUUUUUUUUUUUUUUUUUUUUUUUUUUUUUUUGUUUUUUUUUUUCAUUUCUUUUUCUAUCAUUGUAUCAUCACUUACUAUAUUAUCAAUAUUCAUAAUAUAAUCCCACAAAAAUUUUAUUUUACUUUCAAUCAUAUUUUUAAUUUGAUCGUUGUCAUCUUUUUCGUAAAGAGUUUUUACUCUCCCUCCUCUUCCUCUUAAGCACUUCUCUAAGGACUUCACAUUUUUGUUACUUUUUCUUCUCACCAUUUUAAGUUAGCAAUAUAUAUAUAUAUAUAUAUAUAUAACUCGAAUCAAAUUUAAAUAAAUAAAAUCUAAUAUGUUAAUAUAGGUGUAUA